CCAAUAGCGUAUAUUAAAGUUGUUGCAGUUAAAAAGCUCGUAGUUGAAUUUCGGGAUCAGUACGUUGGUCGUGCCUUGGUAUGUACUGGCGUCACUGAUUCCUACCUUCUGAAGAACCGUCAUGCCAUUAAUUUGGUGUGGCGGGGAAUCAGGACUGUUACUUUGAAAAAAUUAGAGUGUUUAAGGCAGGCUCGCGCUUGAAUACAUUAGCAUGGAAUAAUGAAAUAGGACGUUAAUCCUAUUUUGUUGGUUUCUAGGAUCGACGUAAUGAUUAAUAGGGAUAGUUGGUGGCAUUAGUAUUCAAUUGUCAGAGGUGAAAUUCUUGGAUUUAUUGAAGACUAACUACUGCGAAAGCAUUUGCCAAGGAUGUUUUCAUUAAUCAAGAACGAAAGUUAGGGAAUCGAAGACGAUCAGAUACCGUCGUAGUCUUAACCAUAAACUAUGCCGACUAGGGAUCGGAUGAUGUUAAUUUUUUAAUGACUCAUUCGGCGCCUUACG
rnacentral:rRNA from 1 species